CCAGAGGAUACUGUGGAGGUCAAGAAACAGAGACUUGCCAAAAUUAUGGCCGUUAGUCAGGAGAUCGGUGCCCUUGGUGACCUUCCCCCAGAAGUGAAGAAGGAUAUGCCCCAACCUAAAUUUCAAGCUGGAGACAUGGCGGGCUGUAUGGUUAUGUGAUUUCCAUCCGCAGACCCCCCUUCAAAUAAUCCUGGAU